CGGGGGUUGGCGAAUCCUCUCGUCCUAAACAGACCCCGGUGGCUCGGCCGCACCCCUUGUGCCAUCUGCACCGGUCGUGGGGUUCGUAGGAAGGACUCAGGGAGACCCCGGACACCCCGAAAUGAAAGCAGUUCUAGGUUCAUGGAAAAGGACUCAGUGGCCAUUGAGGAUGUAGUUGUAACCUUCACCCUAGAAGAGUGGGCCUUACUGGAUUCUUCACAGAAGAAACUUUAUAGAGAUGUAAUGCGACAAACUUUCAAGAACCUGGCCUCAAUAGGGAAGAAAUGGGAUGAUCGUGACAUUGAAGAAUUGUAUAAAAACCAGGGGAGAAAACUAAGAAAUCAUAUGGCGGAGAGACUCUGUGAAACUAAAGAGGGUAGUCAAUGUGAAGACAACUCCAAUCUUAUUUCAGAAAUGACUUUGAACAAGAAGACCACUGCAGUGAAACCACAUGAAUGCAGUACAUGUGGAAAAGUCUUUAUGCAUCAUUCACCCCUUGAUAGGCACAUCAGAUGUCACACUGGACACAAACCAUAUGAAUAUGACAAAUACAGAGAGAAGCCUUAUACAUUUAGGACAUGUGGUAAAACCAGUUAUCACCAUUUUUUUUAUAAACGUGUAGAGAAAUCUUACAAAUGUAAGGAAUGUGGGGAACCCUUUAGGCAUCCCCAGUUUGCUCACAAACAUGAACAGAUUCAUACUGGAGAGAAAUGGUAUCAAUGUAAACAAUGUGGAAAAAUCUUUAGAUAUUUUCAAGGCUUCCAAAAACAUAAAAAAACUCACACAGGAGAGAAACCGUAUGAAUGUAAGCAAUGUGGUAAAGCUUUCAAUUGUUCCAGUUCUUACCAAAGUCAUGAAAAAACUCAUACUGGGGAGAAACCUUAUGAAUGUAAGGAAUGUGGGAAAGCCUUCAGUUAUCACUCUUCCUUUCUGUUACAUGAGAGAAUUCAUACUGGAGAGAAACACUAUACAUGCAAGGAAUGUGGUAGAGGCUUUCGUCGUUACGGAACCUUAAAACGGCACAUGAGACUGCACACUAGGAAGGAACUGUAUGAAUGUAAACAAUGUGGUAAAGCCUUCAGAUAUUUUGUUUGGUUUGAGAAACAUGAAAGAAGUCAUACUUGAAACAUUAAAUGUAAGGAAUGUGAAAAGGCCGCCUCAUAUUACCAAACCUUAAAAGUACACACUAAACUGCACAGCAGAGAAAUCAUAUGAAUAUGAGCAAUGUGGUAAAGCCUUUAGCUAAUCCUCUUCCUUUAAAAGUCAUUGAAGAAAUCAUGAGAAAAAAUCCUAUGAAUGUAAGUAGUUUGGUAAAGCCUACAGACCUUACAGCUUCUUAGAAACACAAGAGAAUUCAUAAGGAAAGCUUAAUGGAAAUUCAUGUGUAGUACAGUGUUCCAGACAACAGCACAAGUCAUUAAUAAAUGUGUAGCCCUAGCCAAGUUGGCUCAGUGGAUAGAGGGUCAGCCUGAACACUGAAGAGACCUGGGUUCGAUUCUGGUCAGAGUCAAUACCUCAGUUGCAAUUUCCCCUGCGCUGGUCAGAUGCAUGCAGAAGGCAACCAAUUGCUGUUUCUCCCUAUCUGCUCCACUAUCAUGUUGAAGCCUAUUGGGAUUGAUGGACUUUGAUGUGAGAAGAAAUACCUGUAAUAAGGACAAAAAUCUAGAGCUGGGAUGUUCCCCUGUGGAUAAUGUUUUAUAUCAUUUUCUGGAUUUUCCACUUACAAUCAAGAGUAUCCUCAGAACUUCCACCAACUCUUUCAUAUUCAUUUUUUUUUUAAAGAGAAGUAGAUUUUCACUGAAAUUUUCAGAAGACCCACAUCAAUAAUUCAUUAGGGUUAGCAUUUUUCUGUAAGCCAGGAAACUGAUUCAGACUUUGAUAUCGAAAUAAUGUCUAAUUCCCCUCUUUAGAUUAUAUAAGAUCUCAUUUGUACAGGAGACACCUUAUACUGUCAACAGAGCUAAUUAGUGUGUUCCCAAUUCACUUUGUGACAUCUACAACUGUGUAGUCACGAAGAAGGAUAUGGGAGUUAGUUUCUCCACUGCAUUGUACAUUGGCUGCUUUGACCUGGUCCUUUCAUAUGUGAAAUGUGAGCAUAAGCACAUUUUUCCUACUGGAAGACUGGGGGUUUCCUCUUACUUGUAGCUGAAUGUAUUCUUUCAAAGUUCUUAAUUACUUUUCAUGAUAUGUGAAUAAAAGUA